CUUGUCUUUUGACAGCGCUUCGCUCCUCUUCAGCUCCACCGUCGUAUUCAAACAUGGUCACCUCCGUCUCCAGCUCCUCCUCCAGCAUUAUAUUGAACAUCUCCUGCACAAAGUUGUUCUCAUGUAGCGCUCCUCCUCAGCUCCACCCUCUCCUCAAGUCACCUGUGGCUCCAGCGUCUCUUUGAUUCAUUCCCUCAGCGGACAGGUGGGAUCUAAAAAAGGAACAGGAGGUGAAAUCUAAAGAAGAGCCCUGAACAACAGAACAGAGGAGACAGGAAGCAGCACAGAGGA